ensembl:lncRNA
GGUUCCUGUUAUUCCUGUUAGGUCUGUUAUUUCCUGUUAGGUCUGUAUUCCUGUUAGUCUGUUAUUCCUGUUAGGUCUGUAAACUCAAGUCAGUCAUUUGUUAACUCCUGCCUUUCCUUCCCUCUAGAGCCCCCAGUGAGCCCAGACCCCCGGGAGACGAUGCCCCCCCCGGGACCCACCAGGCUCCAGACAGACCUCAGUCCCCCACCAGACCAGCCAAGGACGGCCCUCCUCCUCCAGAGGCCUGCUCAGGAAAGACCCCUGUCUGCCCCCAGGCCGGGACCAGGCCGACCCUCCAAGCCCCCUGCCCCCCCACGCAGCCAGAAACCCUUGAGACCCCGCCCAGCCUCUCCCAAGCCCCCCUCCCUCUACCACCCAGCCCCUUACGGGAAGAUUCUAAGGGUGGACCUGUACAGCCAACCCAACCUCACCUCUUGUAACGUCAGCACCCAACCUAACCCUAAAACCAACCCUAAGUCUAAACUCUCCCCUCCACUACUUAAACCCAACUCUACUUCCCCUAUCAUCAGACCCAAGCCUCUUCUACCUAACCCUAAAACUAACCUUACCUCCGUACCAAAAUCCAAACCUAGACCUAACUCUACAGCAGAACUCCCUGGGCCUGCAGCUAACUUUAAUCCUGAUCACAACAAACCCAGAACCGCUCCCAAAGCAAUCUCCAGACCCAAACAGAACCAUAACAAACCCAGGCCCACCCUGGAUCCUUCUACCAGGCCCAGAGCCAGCSCUGGGUCCAGCUCCAGUACCUCCAAACCUAGAACCAGCCCUGGGCCCAGCUCCAGCACCUCUAAACCCAGAACCAGCCCUGGGCCCAGCUCCAGUACCUCUAAACCCAGAACCAGCCCUGGGUCCAGCUCUAGUACCUCUAAACCCAGCCCCGGGCCCAGCUCCAGUACCUCUAAACCCAGAACCAGCCCUGGGCCCAGCUCCAGUACCUCUAAACCCAGACCCAGCUCAGACCUCUCUGCUGUCAGAUCCAGACCGGACCCUAGCACCUUUAUUCCUGGUAUCUCCAGACCCAGGCAUGUCCCGGGGGAGGGCGGGGUGGGAGGGCAGGGCGGGGUGCGACAUGGGCGUAAGGCCCUCCUAGAGGAACCCCUAGUAAAGCUGGACCACGAGGGCGUGACCUCACCCAAGACCAAGAAGACCAAGGCUCUGAUGCUGCUGGAGGCCAGAGGCUUACGGCAAGAACCCACACCCCUCUCCACGGCRGCAGCCAGCCAGAAGCCGGCGAGGGUAAAGGGGAGGGCUCCGGAGAGCGAGGCAGGGCUGCUGGAGGCCAAGGGCUUACGGCAAGAACACACACCUCUCUCCACGGCCGCAGCCAGCCAGAAGCCGAAGAGGGUAAAGGGGAGGGCUCCGGAGAGCGAGGCGGGGCUGCUGGGGAGAGAACCCGCCUACAGAACGCCUUCUCUGGGCAGAGAAAGAGACCGGGGUGGAGGGGGGGACAGAGAACCAAAGAGAGAGGAGAGAACGAAACAAGGGGAAGAGAAGAGAGGGGAGGAGACAGGGGGGUCUCACGGCAGCAGUAGUUCAGGAUCUGAGGAAGAGGAGAGACGAGAAGAAAACAAAGUGUAGCUCCGCUGCUCCACCCCUCCUCCCAGCCUCCUCCUCCUCAUCCUCCUCUAGCACCUCCUCUUCCUCUUCCUCUCCUCCACUGACGAGGAGUCCUCUUGUAGUUCUCUACGAGAGACCCCCCCCUCCCCCUCCCUCUCCCCUUCCUCCCCCCCUCCAACUACCCCACAGGAGAGUAGAGGUGGAGGAAGAGAAAGGAAGAGGAAGAAUUAAAAAGUUAAAAAGAAGAGGAAGAUAGAAGUAUUAGAGAGAGAUCAAUCUCCCUCCUCUCCUCCCCCGUCUAUCUCUCCGUCCUCCCAGCCAGCCAGGCCCCGUCGUCCAGCCCGCAAAGUCCCAGGGAGGGUGGGUCGGUGGGCAGGCCACGGCGCAGGGAGGGGCCCACCUCCCCACCCAAGACGGGUAAGAGACAGCAUUACCGAGUGUAGAGAACAGACCUAAGAUCCUCCUGCUCCUGCCUGCCAGACAGCUCUGGAAGUGGUUCGGUAAUCCCACACACAGGUGAGAGGAGACGCGUGGAAUAUUUUGAAGCUCUCGAUGACACUUGAGUCUGUUUUUUUUUUUUUGAGGGGGGGGGGGGGGGGGGGGGGGGGGGGCGGGGUUCCAGAAGAUUAGCCAGAAAUUCUCCUGCCAUACCCUCUGUCUGUCUGUCUGUCUGUCUCUCUGUCUGUCUGUGUUUUCUUGGCCUGUCUGUCUUCGGACUCUUCUCUGUCCUGCCUUUGGACUUUCUGUCUGUCUGUCUGUCCUGCCUGCCUGUCUGACUGUCUUCUGCCUG